UCCUCCCUCCUUUAGUUCUAGGUUCUGUUGCAGAAACUAAUGUCACAUCUUCAUAUGUGUAAGAGUAGCAGAGAAAACAAAAGAAUAAAAGCUAAACAACUGUAUGAGACAGAAAUAAAACUGAAACGAACCUCUCUUAAGUUCCUGGUCCCUUAUUCCAAGCUUUAGUACAGUAAGA
ensembl:snoRNA